CCUCGAAAUAAUUAUUUCGUUCCCUCGAUUUAGGAUAUCGAGCGAACGAAUUAAGUAUUUCGUUCCCUCGAAAUAAUCAUAUUAGAAAUCGAAAUACAAUUUCGUGAUUAAAGUCUAAAUCUCUGGCCCAUCAAAGCCAGUGAGGAGAGACGGACAUGCAGCUGUUUUAUAAUAGAUCCAUGCAGCAGCAGCAGCAGCAGCAGCACCGGGACCAGCUACAACAUCUUGGAGUGGAAGGUACGUUUCUGAAGUUAUGCAACUAUAUUCCUAUGUGUGAUAAGUGUUUUAAAUAAAUAUCUUAAAGCCCAUUCUUGUAUUCUGAACCUUGUUACCAACCUAACAUAAAGCAUAUGAGGCUAACGUUGGCUAAAACGGUGAAAUGCUAUUUUUAAUGUUACUGUUUACAACUAUUUCCAGGGUUAGUGGGGAUGUAAAGCCUCUCAAAACCAACAUGAAAUAACGUGCAAAUCUUCCCUCAGAGCAGUGUUGUUUUGUUGUAACAAUUUUGUUGCUAAAUGAUCAAAACGAGACAUAAAGCACCCGUUUCAUUCAUUUAGGGGCCGUCUAUGUGCUGGAGUUAACAGUGGCUGCAACGCUCUGACAUCCACGUUGACAUUAUACAGCAAUCUUACACAACCACACAGAUUCUUUUGCCGGAGUCCGAAGUUUCAUCUAUGGACGCAGCACCACAAACCAGCGGAUUGAAUCGUGGUGGGGGAUCCUGAGGAAACAAAGUGCACAGUUUUGGAUCAACGUUUUCCAAACCCUCUAAGAUGACGGCUACUUCUCUGGUGAUUUCUUGGAUAGGAGCCUGAUCCAAUUCUGCUUCCUAAACCUUGUUCAGGAUGAACUUGACGAAGUCGUGAGAACCUGGAAUUCACACAAGAUAAGAGCAAAGGCAGCUGAUGGUGUGAUUGGAGGUCGGCGGAUUUUGAUGUACACACUUCCAGGCAUGUUCGGCGCAGAGGACAAUCUCAAGCCCAUACACAUGAAUGAAUUGGCCCUUUGUAGGGAGGAGUGCACCCCCAAAAGCCAAUAUACAUGUGAUGAAACUGUAUUUGAUCUCUGCUGUCUUCUGAUGCAGGAAAGGGGAUGGGAUCCUCCUACAGAUGCAUUUUCCGCUGCUGAACUGUACACCUUAUUAAGAACUGAAAUACUGCAAAGUGUCUGAGGGUGGACAAUUCUCUCUGCACAAAGAAGAAUCAUUUGUACUGUACAAUACAGGACUGUCUCAGAAAAUUAGAAUAUUGUGAUAAAGUCCUUUUAUUUUCUGUAAUGCAAAAAUGUCAUACAUUCUGGAUUCAUUACAAAUCAACGGAAAUAUUGCAAGCCAUUUAUUAUUUUAAUAUUGCUGAUCAUGGCUUACAGCUUAAGAAAACUCAAAUAUCCCAUCUCAAAAAAUGUGAAUAUUCUGGGAAUCUUAAUCAAACUGUAAGCCAUAAUCAGCAAUAUUUAAAUAAUAAAAGGCUUGCAAUAUUUCAGUUGAUUUGUAAUGAAUCCAGAAUGUAUGGCAUUUUUUUUUUUUUUUUUUUUUUAAAUUGCAUUACAGAAAAUAAAGAACUUUAUCACAAUAUUCUAAUUUUCUGAGACAGUCCUAUUAGCCUCCUUGCGGCAUGUGAGAUGGACCCAUGCAUUUGGUUUGAAUGGCAUGUCGCGUGUACCAGUAACCAGUUUUUGUGCUGGAGGAGAGCAGUGAACACAACAGCUGUAAAUAAGAAUAGUUGAUGUUUAUAGGAUUUCACUUCUGAGAUCUUAUUCCUAUACCACAGUACCCUCAAUCUGACUCUGUAUUGCCCUCUUUGAACAUUUCUGACCGCAUUAAAUCCUUGGUUGAGACAAAGUCCGACUUAUUACCAACCUGAAUUUGUGUAAGGUGUCCCGGAAUUACCUUUGUUGCAGUGACAAAUGUUAUGUAAUAGUAUCAAUCUGAUAACUGAUAACAAUUGAAUAAACAUGCUGUAUAAAA